rnacentral:lncRNA from 1 species
AGAGGCGCAGCAGCAGGAGCGGUUGGAGUCGGUAGCAACAUGAAUUUUUUUGGGGAAACUUCGGUGCGGAGUCCGGACUAUCUUCGCCAAAUGGUCCGGCCGAUGGUAACCGUAAAAUACGUCCGCCGAGUUUGGGUCGGUUUGAGAGUGGUAUUCGGUGCUCGAAAACAGUAGAAUUCUGAUUUCCUAAUCCCAACUUCCCUGUAGAAAACUGAGAAAAAAAGAGCGCGCUUGCAGUGCUACGUGCAACCUCGGGAGUCGUAUUAACUUAGGCAUGGCAUCACGUGUGCCCGCCGGUUGAGGUGGGCUAAAUUCGACGCAUUUCGAAUCUGUGCUUGUUAAACGUGUGGAAGGAGGGAAUGGAAAAGAAGGCUCUUAAUUAGUGGCUUCAAAGAGGGCUGCUGCUUCAUUGGCUGGAUCCAGCAAUGCAGUGCGUCGGUGGGGUAGGCAAC